rnacentral:rRNA from 1 species
GACGAACGCUGGCGGCGUGCCUAAUACAUGCAAGUAGAACGCUGAAGGAGGAGCUUGCUUCUCUGGAUGAGUUGCGAACGGGUGAGUAACGCGUAGGUAACCUGCCUGGUAGCGGGGGAUAACUAUUGGAAACGAUAGCUAAUACCGCAUAAUAGCAGUUGUUGCAUGACAACUGUUUGAAAGGUGCAAUUGCACCACUACCAGAUGGACCUGCGUUGUAUUAGCUAGUUGGUGGGGUAACGGCUCACCAAGGCGACGAUACAUAGCCGACCCGAGAGGGUGAUCGGCCACACUGGGACUGAGACACGGCCCAGACUCCUACGGGAGGCAGCAGUAGGGAAUCUUCGGCAAUGGACGGAAGUCUGACCGAGCAACGCCGCGUGAGUGAAGAAGGUUUUCGGAUCGUAAAGCUCUGUUGUAAGAGAAGAACGAGUGUGAGAGUGGAAAGUUCACACUGUGACGGUAUCUGACCAGAAAGGGACGGCUAACUACGUG